CUGAGCUGGAGUCUGUGUAGGAGAGCAGCUCUUGAAACAUCUGGGGAUGCGAAGUUGGACCACUCCAGGCCCUGGACGCCAGCUGAGGACACUGGUGGACUUCCAGAGCCUGGAAGUCAGCUAUCUGCCACAGACCAGGGUGUGAUGGUUACUGUGCCAACCUGACACAACCUGGGAAGAGACUCAAUGAGGGACACCAUCUUGGGUUAGCCUGUGGCUGUGUCCAUGAGAGACUGCCUUAAUUAAUUGAUGUGGGAAGACGCAAGCGCCAUUCCCAAGAUGGCCAGAAGAGAGUACUAGAUCUCCUGGAGGUGUUACAGGCCAUUGUGAGCCACCUGAGAUGGAGGCCACGUUGGGCAUUGUGGAAGGGCAAACUCCGAGGGACCUAGGUGCAAGGCGCAGGUGGCAGGCUGGUGCACUCAGGAGGGCCAGCAGACCAAUGGAGAC